CGGGGUGAGUAAUGUCUGGGAAACUGCCUGAGUGAGGGGGAUAACUACUGGAAACGGUAGCUAAUACCGCAUAACGUCGCAAGACCAAAGAGGGGGACCUUCGGGCCUCUUGCCAUCGGAUGUGCCCAGAUGGGAUUAGCUAGUAGGUGGGGUAAUGGCUCACCUAGGCGACGAUCCCUAGCUGGUCUGAGAGGAUGACCAGCCACACUGGAACUGAGACACGGUCCAG
rnacentral:rRNA from 1 species